rnacentral:sRNA from 1 species
AGUUGAUCACAUCGGCUCCUGAGGCUUCUGCAAUUUUCACCUAGUUCUCCAGCCUUGGCUUUCAGCUCCAUCAGCUCCCUUAAGCACUUCUCUAUAUUGGUUAUUCUAGUUAUACAUUCGUCUAAAUUUUUUUCAAAGUUUUCAACUUCUUUGCCUUUGGUUUGAAUUUCCUCCUGUAGCUCGGAGUAGUUUGAUCGUCUGAAGCCUUCUUCUCUCAACUCGUCAAAGUCAUUCUCCGUCCAGCUUUGUUGCGUUGCUGGCUAUUUUUAUGAUUCCCACAAAUCCACCACCAACAUUCAGAAAGCCAGAACUUUGGUCCGAUGAUUUCACCGAUUUUGUUAAAAAGUGUUUGGUGAAGAAUCCUGAGCAGAGAGCUACUGCAACACAACUUUUACAGCAUCCUUUUAUCAAGAAUGCAAAACCUGUAUCAAUAUUAAGAGACCUGAUCACAGAAGCUAUGGAGAUCAAAGCUAAAAGACAUGAGGAACAGCAACGAGAAUUGGAAGAGGAAGAAGAAAAUUCGGAUGAAGAUGAGCUGGAUUCCCACACCAUGGUGAAGACUAGUGUGGAGAGUGUGGGCACCAUGCGGGCCACAAGCACGAUGAGUGAAGGGGCCCAGACCAUGAUUGAACAUAAUAGCACGAUGUUGGAAUCCGACUUGGGGACCAUGGUGAUAAACAGUGAGGAUGAGGAAGAAGAAGAUGGAACUAUGAAAAGUAUGUGGC